AUUAUCACCGACAGCGCGAGCAAAACGUGAUGCUUACACGUUUUCCAAAAGAAGAAGAAAUGAAAACUUUCAAAUUUGAUAGCAGUAUAAUGUCAAAAUCGGUGUCUUGGAUUUUGAUAUGUUUGAUUUUCAUGGAAUGUCAUGGAGUGAUAUCACAGUCUUGCAGUACAUUGUGUGGGAUAGAAAACAAAACUCUCCUCUUCCCAAACUGCUCAGAACCAUGUGGAGCAAGUAGAACUUCAGGUACUCUGUACGUAACUGUCGGAGUUCCCCUCGGUAUAGUGGUGAUAGCAGCUGUGACCCUGUCCGUUGUCUACGCUCUAUGUAUGAGGAAAAAGAGAAAUACAAAUGUUGGAGUGGUGAAGGAUGACCCUUAGUACAAAGCAGAGGAUCAUAGAAUGUUACACGAAAGUGUAUAUCUACGUCAUGAUAUUGCAGAUAUGUUCCGAGUUUGACGAUUUAUUCGAAUUCCCUACAGGAAUUAGGUUAUAUCGCAGAUAUUAAGCGUCACUUUAUAAGAUUCUGUUUGAAAUGGGGGUGCAUAUUGUCGGGAAACAAUGAAAGAAAAAUGAGUCCAUGAAAGUACGAGAUACUUAACCUAUCUAUGAAAGGAAAUAAAUAAUACAAAGCUUA